rnacentral:lncRNA from 1 species
GAGGCUGAUCCCCUCGAAGUGAUCAUCCCCUUUCUCUUCUUCUUUUUUACGAUAAGACUUUAGGGUCUUAUCAUUUGAUAUCAGAGCGGCGAUCCUUACCGUUCUCGCUGCAACGUAACAAAAACAAAAAAAAAAACAAAAAAAAAGGGAGAAAAGGGUUGUUACCCGGCGACCACCUAGAAUUUCCUACUUCCCUUCUUC